rnacentral:tRNA from 1 species
GGUUUGUAGCUUAGUGGUAGAGUGCUUGCCUAGUAUGUGUGAGGCCCUGGGUUCGAUUCUCAGCACCA